rnacentral:rRNA from 1 species
AAAAACAUCGCCUCUUGCUUCAGUGAAUAAGAGGUCACGCCUGCCCUGUGACUAUAUGUUUAACGGCCGCGGUAUUUUGACCGUGCAAAGGUAGCGCAAUCACUUGUCCUUUAAAUGUGGACCUGUAUGAAUGGCAUAACGAGGGCUUAGCUGUCUCCUUUCUCAAGUCAAUGAACUUGAUCUCCCCGUGCAGAAGCGGGGAUAAAACCAUAAGACGAGAAGACCCUAUGGAGCUUUAGACAAAAAACAGCCCCUGUCAAUAAACCCUAAAUAAAGGAAAUAAACCUAGUGAACCUGUUUUAAUGUCUUUGGUUGGGGCGACCGCGGGGUAACAAAAAACCCCCAUGUGGAAUGAAAACACCCUUUUUAAAACCAAGAGUCACCACUCUAAGUUACAGAACAUCUGACCAAUUAAUGAUCCGGCUAAAGCCGAUUAACGAACCGAGUUACCCUAGGGAUAACAGCGCAAUCCUCUUUUAGAGUCCAUAUCGACAAGAGGGUUUACGACCUCGAUGUUGGAUCAGGACAUCCCAAUGGUGCAGCCGCUAUAAA